GGUGAACGCUGGCGGCGUGCCUAAUACAUGCAAGUCGAGCGAACGGACGAGAAGCUUGCUUCUCUGAUGUUAGCGGCGGACGGGUGAGUAACACGUGGAUAACCUACCUAUAAGACUGGGAUAACUUCGGGAAACCGGAGCUAAUACCGGAUAAUAUUUUGAACCGCAUGGUUCAAAAGUGAAAGACGGUCUUGCUGUCACUUAUAGAUGGAUCCGCGCUGCAUUAGCUAGUUGGUAAGGUAACGGCUUACCAAGGCAACGAUGCAUAGCCGACCUGAGAGGGUGAUCGGCCACACUGGAACUGAGACACGGUCCAGACUCCUACGGGAGGCCGCAGUAGGGAAUCUUCCGCAAUGGGCGAAAGCCUGACGGAGCAACGCCGCGUGAGUGAUGAAGGUCUUCGGAUCGUAAAACUCUGUUAUUAGGGAAGAACAUAUGUGUAAGUAACUGUGCACAUCUUGACGGUACCUAAUCAGAAAGCCACGGCUAACUACGUG
rnacentral:rRNA from 1 species